GCGGCGAGUGGCGAACGGGUGAGUAAUGUAUCGGAACGUGCCUAGUAGCGGGGGAUAACUACUCGAAAGAGUGGCUAAUACCGCAUACGCCCCACGGGGGAAAGCGGGGGUCUUCGGACCUCGCGCUAUUGGAUGAGCCUGCGUUGGAUUAGCUAGUUGGUAGGGUAAAGGCCUACCAAGGCGACGAUCUUUAGCUGGUCUGAGAGGAUGAUCAGCCACACUGGAACUGAGACACGGCCCAGACUCC
rnacentral:rRNA from 1 species